UGGGAAGGACACGAGGAGGACACGCUUCCUUCCUCGGAAUCGAGUCCUGGAGAUGCUGACACUGGAACCGGCUGUCUAAUUUUUGCGUGGCUGCUCUGGGUUGUGCUCUUUGUGGGCUCUAGUCCCUGCUCGGUUUCUUGGCGGCCCUUUACCUCACCCUCAGAUCCUUUUCUCAUUUGCUGUUCCUCAGCUGUCAUGUCUGAGUGCAUCUGAACGCCACCCUCCCCCAAAGCUCCCUGUCCAGGCAGGGUCCAGCUCCUUUCCUCCGCCUCUGUCUACUUCCUGUGUGUUUCUGCAGUGUCGCUGUGCCCUAGCCCAGGAUCCUGCCCAGUUUCCACAUGUGUCACUGUCCACAGGCCCAACAUUACCUUAAAGCAGUCCCCAAGGUGCAUGUUCCCCCAACUAAGGCUUCGGAUGAUCACCGCUGCCAUGUCCAACAUCCAGAGCUCCCUCCUCCUAGAGCAUUCCCUGACCCACCAGGCUCCAUGAAGCUCCCAUUAUGCCCAUGAGCCCCCAGGGGUCCCAGCCAUCACUUUUUCUACAGUGCUGAAAGUCCAUCUUACAGAUUUGUCAUCCCUCCCAGCAUCCUCGAGGGCAGGGAGAAAUCUUGUCCCUUCUGUAGCCCCAAGGCUGACCACUGUAGCUGGCAAAUAGAAGACUCCAAUAUGACUUUGUUGAUCAAAGCCCUCCCUUCUCUAAAAGGCCCAGAAUCCCAUCAAACAGCAGAGCCUGUACUGCAUCACAGGAUAAUGCCUCAGGCUGUGUCCUAUCGUACUGUAGUCUACAGAAGGCAGAGAGGUGCAUGUAUGCCAAUUAACACUACAAUACACAAUUCACAAAUUAUUCAGAUUUUUAAAUUCUCAUCUAUUUCAUAUUGGCCUAAAGGAGUCAGUGGAAAGCUGCUGGGGGUACCAUUGUCUCCUAAAGCAGGAGGGUUGGGUGUUUUCAGGACCCAGUUCCCAUCUCCCCACUCCCUCCCUCCCAAUGACUUCCAUAAUUAGAACAAACACAGGAAUUCCUGUUAAAUACCCGACAUUGUCUUUGUGAGGAUGCAGGUUCAAUCCCUGGCCUCACUCAAUGGAUUAAGGAUCUGGCAUUGCCACAAGCUGUGGUGUAGGUCACAGCUGCGGCUCGGGUCUGGUGGUAUUGUGGGUGUGGCAUAGGGCUCAGCUGCAGCUCCAAUUUAACCCCUAGCCCAGGAGCUUCCAUAUGCCACAGAUGUGGCUGUAAAAAGAAAAAAGGAAAAACAGAACAAAAAGUGGUUUAUGUUCUCAAAUAUAACCAAUCAUUCAUCACUUUACCAAGAUCCCGGGCCAUGGCUUAUAGGUCUCACUUUGGGGUGGGCGGAGAGGAGAGAGGAGGAAAGCCACAGGGCACCUGGAACACGGUAGGCUCUUGGUAAUUGUGUGUUUAAUGAAUGAAUCAUUAGAACUCAUAAGAUUACUUCCAACUCCAAUGCCAGUGUAAGCAAGGAGAUUCCAUCAGACCCCUGAACUGAUGGCCAUUUCGGAGGGGCUCUGGCCUGGGGUCUGGGCGUUUCACACUCCACAGCUUUUUAAGGGGUCUGAUUAGCCGACUUAGCUCCCAACUUAGCUCUGAUCCUUGUCCAUUUCUGUCUGUGUUUCUAUUCCUCUAAUUUCCUCAAACACCAGCCUAUGACACACCAUUGACUUUUUUCCCUUUCACUCUAGACACUUGUUUGGUUGAAUUCUUUCGUGUGUGUGUGUGUGUCCAUGUGUUUGCACGUGCAUGUGCGUGUGCGCGCAUUCAAGUGUGAGUGUGUGUGUGUGUUGUAAGAAUCUUAACAUAAGAUCUACCCACUUAACAUAAUUUCAAGUGCACAGAUAGUACAGUUAACAAAGACGCAAUGCUGGGAAGGAGACCUCUAGAAUUUAAGCUUCUUACAUAAUUGAAACUUCAUACCGGUUGAACCAUGUUGAAGAAAGUUAUGUGACAUAAUGGGGAUGGCGUUAGGCUGGAAAAUGUGGAUCCUUCUUCCGUGGUGAGUGUCCUAGGACAAGUCUGCUAAUUCGCUUUAUCCCCAGGUGCUUUAAGGACAGCAGGAGGGCAACGAUCACUUCCCCGUCUGCCUCACGUGAUCACUGUGAAAGUCACGAGACCCCAUUGAGCUUCACAAAUAUUAUUCCUACAUAUUUAAACACUCUGAGGUGCUUCAAUGCUAAUGGGUUAGAAAUAUUUACAUCUUGGGAGGAAUAAUAGUACAGAGCAAGAGUCAAAAACUGGGGACUCAUGGGAAAGUCCCAGCCACUAGAUGUGUUUUAUUUGGCCCAUGUGGUGUUUUAUAUAUUGGAGCCAGUACUUAACAAUAAAUAGAUUUGAUUAAAAAAAAAAACAAAUAGAACUCCAGUGCUUUGUUUUGUGUGUUUGUUUGUUUUGAAAACUGGAACUCUAUCAGUGCAGGGAGUGCUUUCCCAGAGAUAACAUUUGGCUGAAGCCAAGCAGCACCUGCCCUUUUGGAUAAGUCAUGAGCUCUAUAAUUCACCAGCAUCCCCACCUAUCACACAGGUAUAUGUGCAUUUACACACACCUGUUUCUUUCAUUUUGGCUAAUGGCCUGGAUCCAGUAGCCAUUUUUCUCAUGACCUUCUAGAGUAGGCAAAAUAGAGCAAGAAAAUCCUAAAUUCAAAUCUUGUUUUUUUCCAUUUGAUACCUAGGUGACUAUGGGCAGGUAAUUAACACAUCUGAAAUUAUCCAUCUUCUCACUUUUCAUUUGGACAUAAAAUUAUCCACUCUGUAGUGUUUGAGGAGAUUUAGAUAUAUGGUUUGUAUAGCAUUAGGCACAUAUUCAUCAAAAGAUGUCCUAUUAUUUGAAAUGGAAUUCAUACUGGAAGAAAAUCAACAAAAGGAAGGUAUUGCUAAUGAUAGGAAUGUAAGGACUGGGGAAAAGAAAUUCUCAGUAGAGCAAUUUCAGCACAUAAGACCUGAACUUUAUAGGAGAACAUAUAGCCGCUGCUAGAACUUCAGUCAUAAAUACAAAUAAAAUAAUGGUCAGUCACAACAGCCAGACCGUCUUUGAGAACUUUCAACGUUCAAUCUGUAAUUAUAGAAAUUGUGUGAGUGUGUGUGUGUGUGUGUGUGUGUGUGUGUGUGUGUUUCUCCUUUCCAACUCCUGUGUUUUGUCAUAUGCCAUUCUCUUCCCCAGCUGGCCAAGUCUUCAUGCAUCUCAACUUUCAGGAUCCAGCCUGCAUGUCCACUUUCUGAGAAGUCCUCCUUGAUACCCUCAGGUUAGAUUAGCUGUCCCCUCCUCACGCUGCCAGUGGUGCCUGGAAUUGUCUUCUAUCACUAACAAUAAUUACACAGAGCAGUAACUUUUUUCACUUACGUCUCUCACUCAAUAGUGUGAGGCCCUCAGGGGCAAGAUUGAUGUCUGUAAUGGUUAAUUGUGUGAGUCAAACUGGCUAGGUUCUGGUACCCGUAUGUGGGCCAACAUUAUUCUAGAUGUUUCUGUGAGGUGUAUUUUUGAUGAUAUAACUCUUAAAUCAAUAGACUUUCAGCAAUGCCAAGAACCUUCCAUUAUGUGGGAGGGCCUCAUCCAAUCAGCUGAAGGCCUCAAGAGCAAAGACUGACCUCCUGGAACAAGAAGGAAUUUUGUCUUUGGACUUGAACCACAAACUCUUUCCUAGGUUUCCAGCCUGCAGGCCUACUCUGCCAGUUUUGGACUUGCCAGCCUCCACAAUCUUGUGAGCCAAUUACUUAAAAUCAAUCUCUCUCUCUCCUAUAUAUAUAUAUUGAGAUGUGUAUGUGUGUGUGUGUAUACAUCCAGCAGUUCCGUUCCUCUAGAGAACCCUGACACAAGGUUCUAUUAACCUCUCUUCCUCCUACAUCUGCGAUGUACAGCAGUCACUCAGGAGUUGUGGCAUAAGAAGCAAAUAAAUUGAUAUACAAAGGAAUGAUAUUAUGGACAGAAUUUUUAAUUGCACAAAAGGUGAGUCUGGUUCAUUCUUUUAAGUUCUCCUCUGACUUAAUGAUUAGAAUCUACAAUUCUAUUCCUAUUCACUCAAUGGAAGAUCUUUCUUCUCCAGUGUCAUAGAAAAACUCGGGCCACCUCAUGUUCUGCCUUGUUAUAACAUCUCCCUCUUGGAGUUCCCAUGGUGGCUCAGCAGGCUAAGGACCUGAUGUUGUCUUCGUGAGGAUGCAUGUUCGAUCCCUGACCUCACUCGGUGGCCUAAAGGAUCUGGCAUUGCUGCAAGCUGUGGCAUAGGUCUCAGGUGCAGCUCAGAUCUGGUGUUGCCAUGGCUGUGGCACAGGCCUGAAGCUGCAGUUCCAAUUCAACUCCGAGCCUGGGAACUUCCGUGUGCUCCAGGUAAGGCCGUAAAAAGAAAAAAGACAUUGAAGAAAAAAAACUUCCUCUUAAAUUGAGAAUUACUUGAAGGCAGAGAAAUUUAAAUGUUAACCUCUCCUGCUCUAGUGCAGUACUUGAUAUGUAGUAGUCGCUCAAUGAAUAAUUCAAAUGAAUGAUUAGAUUGCAUUGAAUUAUUCCUGAAGUCUACCUCUAAGUGUUCCCAGUAAGGUUCCCAUAGCCAUCAGCUCUACUAAUAAAUAAUGAGCUGUUUUGCUCAUUUGUCAUAUUUUCAUAAUUGUUUUAAUGCAUUGUAUUGAUUUUUGCAUAACAUUUUUAAUGGAAAUCCUUCUGAAGUCUCUCAAUGCCAAACCACCAGUAAUAAAUGUUAAAAUAGAUCGGGGCCUAUUUAAAGGUUAUUUUUCUUUUAAUUAAUUGAAUAGGGAUUAAAUUAGUGGGGAAAAAAUCAAACUUUCUAAAUGGGAAAGUUUAAACUUAAAAGCAUUACAGGGGCUAAAUUAGGCUCCAUUUUGCUUAGCACAUUACUAUUUACAAAACACUGCACCAUUUCAUGACAUUAAAACAACCUGAGCUGCAUAGUGAUAACUUCCUUCCACGACUCAGGAAACUGAGAUCCAGAGUAAUAACUAACUUUUUAUGUUCUAGCCACUAUUACCUGUUUUGUGUGUGUGUGUGAAUUUUCUUUUUUUUUUUUUUUUUGUCUUUUUUAGGGCCACACCCGGGGCAGGCUAGGGAACCCACCUGGAGGUUCCCAGGCUAGGGAUCAAAUUGGAGCUGUAGCUGCCAGCCUACACCGCAACCACAGCAACACGGGAUCCGAGCCACAUCUGUGACCUACACCAUAGCUCACAGCAACGCCGGAUCCUUAACCCACUGAGCAAGGCCAGGGAUUGCCCCCGCAACCCCAUAGUUCCUAGUCGGAUUCGUUAACCACUGAGCCACGACGGGAACUCCUGUAGGACUUCUCUUAACAGAAUAUGUAUCUUAUUGAUUCUAUUCCUCAGGAGACCUCUGACUGAUACACUGUUCAGGGUCAGACAGCUUAAAGUCACACAGCAAGCCAGUUUGGGGCCAGAACUCAAACCAGGCUUGUUGUGUCCAAAAUCUGUAUUUCCCCUGCACCAAGCUGUCUUUAGAUCACCCCAUCCCACAUGAAACCCUUAUGCAAAGUUCUGCGGUUGUUAAUGGGCCUGAUUUCUAUUUUCCCUCAGAUUAAGUAGUUUGGAAAUCUCAGGUAGGAGAUCCCCGUCCCUAUUUGUUUUUUGUUUUAUUUUUAGGGCCACGCCCCCAGCAUAUGCAAGUUCCCAGGCUAAGGGUAGAAUCGGAGCUACAGCUGCUGGCCUACCCCACAGCCAUAGCAAUGCCAGAUCCGAGCCACAUCUGAGACCCAUACCACAGUUUUUGGCAGAGUUGGAUCCUUAACCCACUGAGCAGGGCAUCCUCAUGGAUACUAAUCAGGUUCAUUACCGCUGAGCCGCAAGAACUCCCCUUCACUAUUAAGUCAUGCAGACAGAGGAAAAACAAGUCUGUCUUCAUUCUCCCACUCACCUUGUUUGCUUAAGAAUCAUGGCUUUUACAACCACAGAUUGACAGCCCUGAGCCCCAGUGAGCUUGGUGAAAAUGGAGGGAGGAGCUCCCCUGUGGCUCAGGGGGUUAAGGACCUGGCAUUGUCACUGCAGUGGCUCACUGCUAUAGUAUGGGGUUUGAUUCCUGGCCCCGGAACUUCCACAUGCUAUAGGUGCAGCCAAAAAAAAAGGAGAAAAAGAAAAGGGAGGGAAAGCAGAGAGAGGUCAACCGAGGGUUCUUAGCAAAAGACACCAGUGUGUGGGCUUCAGUGUUCCAUGUAUUCAGGGCCUCAGUUACACUGGGGUUUGAACAGCUUAACUUCAAGGAAUUGGGCCAUUUUAAUUGAAAGGCGUGUUUAGUCUUUUUGUUAAAAAAUCCAAAAGAGAAAAAAAAAGUCUUUAGAAUUAAGGAAUAUUUUGUCUCUGUGGGACCAUUGAAAGUCUAAAAUAUUUCCCAGCAAGAUCCAUUUGUUCAGCUAUUAAUAUACUUUAUUAUUUUCCCACUAUGGCAAGAAUCUCACUGUUCCUUCAGUUGAUAUCUGAGAUGGAAAAAAAGAAAUCAUUAUCAUUUCAGGCUUCAAAAAAUCCUAUUUUCCCUCAAAUGCACAGAGAAAAUGGAAGCAGAAGCUGGCUUUGCUGUGUGAAAAAUCCAGACUGAGUAUAUAGGCUUGUCUUGUCUCUUUUUUCCCACCUAUAAAAUUGAACUAAAAAACAGAAAAGAGGAACUCUCCCUUCAUGACUCAGCGGUCAACGAACCCAACUAGGAUCCAUGAGGAUGUGUAUUCAAUCCCUGGCCUUGCUCAGUGGGUUAAGAAUGCGGCGUUGCCGUGAGUUGUGGUGUAGGUCACACACGCGGCUUUGGAUCUGGCGUUGCUGUGGCUGUGGUGUACGCCAGUAGCUGUAGCUCUGAUUCAGCCCCUAGCCUGGGAACUUUCAUAUGCCACAGGUGUGACCCUAAAAAGCAAAAUAAAUAAAUAGAUAAAAUAAAAAACAGAAAAGACAAAUUUAUAAAACUGUCCCUUCAACUGACCUGAGCUAGAAUGAUAUA
rnacentral:lncRNA from 1 species